rnacentral:rRNA from 1 species
CGGGACACGUGGUAUCCUGUCUGAAUAUGGGGGGACCAUCCUCCAAGGCUAAAUACUCCUGACUGACCGAUAGUGAACCAGUACCGUGAGGGAAAGGCGAAAAGAACCCCGGCGAGGGGAGUGAAAAAGAACCUGAAACCGUGUACGUACAAGCAGUGGGAGCACGCUUAGGCGUGUGACUGCGUACCUUUUGUAUAAUGGGUCAGCGACUUAUAUUCUGUAGCAAGGUUAACCGAAUAGGGGAGCCGAAGGGAAACCGAGUCUUAACUGGGCGUUAAGUUGCAGGGUAUAGACCCGAAACCCGGUGAUCUAGCCAUGGGCAGGUUGAAGGUUGGGUAACACUAACUGGAGGACCGAACCGACUAAUGUUGAAAAAUUAGCGGAUGACUUGUGGCUGGGGGUGAAAGGCCAAUCAAACCGGGAGAUAGCUGGUUCUCCCCGAAAGCUAUUUAGGUAGCGCCUCGUGAAUUCAUCUCCGGGGGUAGAGCACUGUUUCGGCAAGGGGGUCAUCCCGACUUACCAACCCGAUGCAAACUGCGAAUACCGGAGAAUGUUAUCACGGGAGACACACGGCGGGUGCUAACGUCCGUCGUGAAGAGGGAAACAACCCAGACCGCCAGCUAAGGUCCCAAAGUCAUGGUUAAGUGGGAAACGAUGUGGGAAGGCCCAGACAGCCAGGAUGUUGGCUUAGAAGCAGCCAUCAUUUAAAGAAAGCGUAAUAGCUCACUGGUCGAGUCGGCCUGCGCGGAAGAUGUAACGGGGCUAAACCAUGCACCGAAGCUGCGGCAGCGACGCUGAUGCGUUGUUGGGUAGGGGAGCGUUCUGUAAGCCUGUGAAGGUGUGCUGUGAGGCAUGCUGGAGGUAUCAGAAGUGCGAAUGCUGACAUAAGUAACGAUAAAGCGGGUGAAAAGCCCGCUCGCCGGAAGACCAAGGGUUCCUGUCCAACGUUAAUCGGGGCAGGGUGAGUCGACCCCUAAGGCGAGGCCGAAAGGCGUAGUCGAUGGGAAACAGGUUAAUAUUCCUGUACUUGGUGUUACUGCGAAGGGGGGACGGAGAAGGCUAUGUUGGCCGGGCGACGGUUGUCCCGGUU